AUGCUCCGCCUCCCCUGCCUCCUGCGUGGCGUCUCCUCGCCGGCGGCGUCCUCUCUCCGGCGAGCCUUCCGCUCGGCGGCCUCCCUUGAAGCCAUCCUCUCACACUCCCACCCAUCCAAGGCCUCCUCCGAGGACCAGGCGGGCCCCGCCCACCUCGCGCUCUACAACUACCCCACCUUCGCCGGCGCCUACUCCGCGCUCGCCGCUGACCUCUUCCACCGCCGCCUCGGCCGGCGCCUCCUCGUCCUCCCCUUUUCCUCCGUCGAGCCCUUCAGAGCGGAGGACUUCAAGGGUGCCGGGUUCCAUUCUUGCUAUCUUUUGGAUUUCAUCGGGCCAAGGAAUUUUGCGUUGGAGCUCUCUGGAUUCAUCCCCAGUGUGGUGGCAUUUGAUCACCGGCAAAGCACACUGGCAAGGAUCCCACAGAUGGGUCGAUGCCCAACUAACCUUGACAUCCGCAUCGACACGGCAAAAAGUAGCGCCCGAGCUGUAUUAGACUAUUUCUCCAAUAAGCUUACAUCGGAAAACCCUGAUUCCGAGACAUGUGAGAAUCUGUUGGGCCAAGAAGAUGAGGAGCGGGUUUCAAAUGUUGUCAAAUAUGUAGAGGAUGCUGAUCUGCGGCAAUGGCAGCUGCCCGAUAGCAGAGCAUUUCAUACAGCUCUCAGGGAUGAGCGUGCAAAGUUAAAUUGUGUCAGUAAUCCUCAUGUUUUUGAGCAGCUAAUGCAACUUGAUGUUAGCGAUCUGCUUGCUAGAGGGAAUUCAUUAGCUCAAAAUCGUCUAGAGGCUGCAAGGAAGCUCAUACACAAUCCUUUCAAGAUUUACCUCGGACAAGGGCUAUAUGGUGAAUGCCUUGCAAUCAGAGCCGACGGGGAUUCAAAGCUGAGCCACGAAAUCGGCUUGGAGUUGAGCAAGAUGAGUGCUGGCGCCGGAUUAAGACCAAUUGGGGCAGUGGUCUUUAUGCAACGUGGACUGCUGAAGAUCUGCUUGAGGACUACAGACAAUUCAACCAACACAGCAGAGGUCGCCAAGGCAUAUGGCGGAGGUGGAAAGGCGAGCUCAAGUUCUUUCGCACUAAGGAUGGACGAGUUCAACGCCUGGAUUAGGGAGAACACAUGA
rnacentral:rRNA from 1 species